rnacentral:rRNA from 1 species
CAUCCGGUGGCCGCAGAGAAUAGGCCCAAGCGACUGUUUACCAAAAACAUAGGUUUCUGCUAAGUCGCAAGACGAUGUAUAGGAGCUGACGCCUGCCCGGUGCUGGAAGGUUAAGGGGAUCUGUUAGAGCAAUCGAAGCAGUGAACUUAAGCCCCAGUAAACGGCGGCCGUAACUAUAACGGUCCUAAGGUAGCGAAAUUCCUUGUCGGGUAAGUUCCGACCCGCACGAAAGGCGUAACGAUUUGGGCACUGUCUCAACAACAGACUCGGUGAAAUUGUAAUUCCGGUGAAGAUGCCGGAUACCUGCGACAGGACGGAAAGACCCCAUGGAGCUUUACUGUAGCUUGACAUUGGGUCUUGGUACUACAUGUACAGG